UUGCUUUAGCAGCACAUUAAAUAAAAAUUGUAACAAUACAGAGAAUAUUAGCAUGCCCCUGCACAAGAAUAAACACAAUUAUAAAGCAGUCCAUACUUUUUUU